rnacentral:rRNA from 1 species
GGGGGAUAACGUAGCGAAAGUUACGCUAAUACCGCAUAUACCCUGAGGGGGAAAGCAGGGGAUCGCAAGACCUUGUGCUCUUUGAGCGGCCGAUAUCAGAUUAGCUAGUUGGUGAGGUAAAGGCUCACCAAGGCGACGAUCUGUAGCGGGUCUGAGAGGAUGAUCCGCCACACUGGAACUGAGACACGGUCCAGACUCCUACGGGAGGCAGCAGUGGGGAAUUUUGGACAAUGGGGGCAACCCUGAUCCAGCCAUGCCGCGUGAGUGAAGAAGGCCUUCGGGUUGUAAAGCUCUUUCGGCCGGGAGGAAAUCGCACCAGUUAAUACCUGGUGCGGAUGACAGUACCGGAAUAAGAAGCACCGGCUAACUACGUGCCAGCAGCCGCGGUAAUACGUAGGGUGCGAGCGUUAAUCGGAAUUACUGGGCGUAAAGCGUGCGCAGGCGGUUUUUUAAGACAGGCGUGAAAUCCCCGGGCUCAACCUGGGAACUGCGCUUGUGACUGGAAGGCUAGAGUAUGGCAGAGGGGGGUGGAAUUCCACGUGUAGCAGUGAAAUGCGUAGAGAUGUGGAGGAACACCGAUGGCGAAGGCAGCCCCCUGGGCCAAUACUGACGCUCAUGCACGAAAGCGUGGGGAGCAAACAGGAUUAGAUACCCUGGUAGUCCACGCCCUAAACGAAGUCAACUAGGUGUUGGGAGGGUAAAACCUUUUAGUACCAGAGCUAACGCGUGAAGUGACCGCC